GGUGUCACCAAGGCACCACUCACCCAAGCCCUCUGCUGCUGACGACCAUCAGGCAACAGCAGCAUUGGUCCAUCCCAUUCCCAGUCUUUUAUCCGAGAUCCCACAGUCUUGAGAGGACCAAGAUAUUCUGCCUAACGAAGUCACCGGACCCAACACCUGGGUGAAAUCUGACGGUGCGUGGCUGCCAGGCCAGGCACUGGUCAGUCACUGGCUCACCACCCUCGCACACGUGUGCACACAACCAGGCCAAGAGAGGAAAUGAAUCAUUUGCAAUGAGAGAUCACAGUUGCAGGAUUCUUAUCUUGAACACGAACGUGCACAUCUUCAGGAGCUACACAGAGCCUGGCAAGGCAAAAGAAAUCUUGGCCAACUCAGGGACCUGAAAACAAGAUUUCCUGGGCAUCAGGAACAAGUUUGCGUCUGGUGGCAUUGGAGCUUUUCACGCAGCCAAGCAGGAGGGAGAAGAGCUGACAAAACCCACAAAAUCACACCUCCUGUACAAGCCCAAGGGCAUUCGGGUGCCUAAUGUAAGCGCCACAGCUGUUUUUCUCCGCUAACUGUACCAAAUACCUUGCAGCCGUGGAGAAGUGACCCAAAUCUCUUGCGGCUGUAUGCUACAGCAGUUGUCUGUGUGCAGUGCCAGCAGCGGGCUGGAUGCGGCCCAUAAGCUCCGGUCUGCCGUGCUCAGGAGUCUUGUCUCUACAGUUCUCUGC
rnacentral:lncRNA from 1 species